rnacentral:rRNA from 1 species
UACGUAGGGACCAAGCGUUGUUCGGAUUUACUGGGCGUAAAGGGCGCGUAGGCGGCUUUGUAAGUCACUUGUGAAAUCUCCGGGCUUAACUCGGAACGGCCAAGUGAUACUGCAAUGCUAGAGUGCAGAAGGGGCAAUCGGAAUUCUUGGUGUAGCGGUGAAAUGCGUAGAUAUCAAGAGGAACACCUGAGGUGAAGACGGGUUGCUGGGCUGACACUGACGCUGAUGCGCGAAAGCCAGGGAGGCAAACGGG